AUGAUGACAACUGGCACUGAGGGACCUCACCCCUUCUCACACUCCUCUGCUUCUGGCCUGGGAGGUGUCUGUACUCCAACUCUUGCUUCCACCUUGAUGUGCUGUGUUGUCAGUGACAACCACCACUGUUCCAGCCUUGGAACAGCUCAGUCCAUGAAAAAAAGAGAUACUGGAUACUGGCGACGCUUCAGGAGGUAAACUCUCAAAGCAUGCUUUCUGCAUGGUCCAGAUCUGACCCUGGAACGCUAGCUACCUCUGAGCAUUCAGAUGAUGGUACUGGGAAAGCCCAGAGCAACUUGCCGGCUGAAGGGCAACACAGAUCCGUCUGGGAGUGGACCCUGUUGUUGUGAGUCGAUUGUUCAGUGUUCCCUCUAAAAGAAAUUCCACGAUGUUCAGCUUCGUGUUUUCUGCAGCUAGAUGCAGGCAGCUGUCUUGUUGACUAAGCUUAUCUUUAAAGAACCAGGCGAGUUAGGCUGGGUCUAAAAGAAAGGAAACACACAAACCGGCUUGCUGCUUGCUUGUUCCUUCUGUUUUCUGUUCCCGUCCAUUUUAUUUUGUGGUAUCUAUCCAAGUAUCUAGAUAGACAGAGGGAUAAGGGGUGCAAACUACAAGGUGGUUCCAGGCGGAUGUAGGUAGGAACAGUAUCACAUCACCCCACCAUGGCCCACAAGACCACCACAGCUCUCCUUCGUUCCAUAGGAACGGUUCUCCAUGCUGUUUGUCUAGCAAAACUGCCUGUUCCCGUCAUGUGCCUGGUGCCCCCUGAGAAACCCAUCUAAGGACAGGAAAGGGAAGCAAGUCUUAGUAAGCCCUAUUUGUGGAAUUCUCUGUGCUGCCUGACUUUCUCUGGAGAGGCAGGAACAGAUGUCUCCUCAUCUCAGAUAGGGCAUCCAGGGCAGGUCCAAGAAACAACUCCACCUCAGUCUAACUUGGUGAAGGAAGGAACGUAUUGUGAUUACCUGGCAACGGCUUGUGAUGGAAGGACAGAUGACUCAAGGGAACUGCCUCACU
rnacentral:lncRNA from 1 species